rnacentral:rRNA from 1 species
CGGCGAGUGAAGCGGUAAGAGCUCAAAUUUGAAAGCUGGCUCCUUCGGGGUCCGCAUUGUAAUUUGCAGAGGAUGUUUCGGGAGCAGCCCCCAUCUAAGUGUCCUGGAACGGACCGUCAUAGAGGGUGAGAAUCCCGUAUGGGAUGGGGUGUCUGCGCCCAUGUGAAACUCCUUCGACGAGUCGAGUUGUUUGGGAAUGCAGCUCUAAAUGGGUGGUAAAUUUCAUCUAAAGCUAAAUAUUGGCCGGAGACCGAUAGCGCACAAGUAGAGUGAUCGAAAGAUGAAAAGCACUUUGAAAAGAGAGUUAAAAAGCACGUGAAAUUGUUGAAAGGGAAGCGCUUGCGAUCAGACUCGCCUUGGGGGUUCAGCCGGCAUUCGUGCCGGUGUACUUCCCCCAGGGCGGGCCAGCGUCGGUUUGGGUGGCUGGUCAAAGGCCCUUGGAAUGUAACGCCUCUCGGGGCGUCUUAUAGCCAAGGGUGCCAUGCAGCCUACCUGGACCGAGGAACGCGCUUCGGCUCGGACGCUGGCAUAAUGGUCGUAAGCGACCCGUCUUGAAACACGGACCAAGGAGUCUAACAUCUACGCGAGUGUUCGGGUGUCAAACCCGUGCGCGCAGUGAAAGCGAACGGAGGUGGGAACCC